rnacentral:misc_RNA from 1 species
CUCUCUCUCUCUCUCUCUCUCUUCUUUCUUUUCACAUUCUGUGCUUUCUACUCUCUUUGUAUUUUGUGUACAUAUUACAUAUAGAAGCGGAGAUAAAGCGGAUAAGGAUCUUAAGAGCUGCUUCUCUCUUCUCUCGACUCUAUCAUUCUCAGAUCUCUCAAUUUCUCUUGAUCCAAGUGAGAGAUGGCGCAGAUAUUGUUGCACGGGACUUUACAUGUAACGAUCUAUGAGGUGGAUAAGCUUCACAGCGAGGGUCAUUUUCCUUGAUUAUUGCUUGAAUUGCAAUUGUAAUCCUUGGCUUUCAUAAUAAUUCCC